UACGUAGGGGGCAAGCGUUGUCCGGAUUUAUUGGGCGUAAAGAGCGUGUAGGCGGUUUGGUAGGUCCGUUGUGAAAACUCGAGGCUCAACCUCGAGACGCCGAUGGAAACCAUCAGACUAGAGUCCGGAAGAGGAGAGUGGAAUUCCUGGUGUAGCGGUGAAAUGCGUAGAUAUCAGGAGGAACACCGGUGGUGUAGACGGCUCUCUGGACCGUAACUGACGCUGAGGCACGAAAGCGUGGGUAGCAAACAGG
rnacentral:rRNA from 1 species